GAUGAACGCUAGCGGCAGGCCUAAUACAUGCAAGUCGGACGGGAUUUGGGAGCUUGCUCCUAAUGAGAGUGGCGCACGGGUGCGUAACACGUAUGUAACCUACCUUAAUCAGGGGGAUAGCCUCUCGAAAGAGAGAUUAACACCGCAUAAUAUAUUUUUAUGGCAUCGUAGAAAUAUCAAAUAUUUAUAGGAUUAAGAUGGGCAUGCGGAACAUUAGCUAGUUGGUAAGGUAACGGCUUACCAAGGCUACGAUGUUUAGGGGGUCUGAGAGGAUGACCCCCCACACUGGUACUGAGACACGGACCAGACUCCUACGGGAGGCAGCAGUAAGGAAUAUUGGUCAAUGGGCGCAAGCCUGAACCAGCCAUGCCGCGUGCAGGAAGACGGCCCUAUGGGUUGUAAACUGCUUUUGUACCGGAAUAAACCCUUUUACGUGUAAGAGGCUGAAUGUACGGUAAGAAUAAGGAUCGGCUAACUCCGUGCCAGCAGCCGCCGCGG
rnacentral:rRNA from 1 species